GACGGCACCCCUCGGCCAAUGGAUUAAGGGAAAUCAAGCGGAGGGACUCGCAGGUAGUCCACGAGAGUACUCCUUUUUAAUUGGUCAUGAGCCACUUGAGAGGCAGGCCGAUCGUCCAACCAAAAGAGCAACAACAGCUCCCAAAACAAGAGCGGGAGCCAGUGAGAAGAAAGAGAGAGGGGCGUUGCUAUGGGCGCCUCGCUUUCACUGGUCAGGCUUUGAGGACGGGUUAUAAGUAAGCGAGUUAGCCAGUAAGACUGUGGCACACGCGGUGACGGACGGGCGGAGCAGCCAAUCCCCGUGUGUUUAUAGGCAGCGCUGGGCGGGAAGCUGUCAGCGGGACGGGCACCGCGACGGGUCCGGGAAGCGCAGGGAUCGUUGUCCUCUCGUACUGCGGGUCCCGCCGGCUCUUCGCCCUAAAACCGGAGCAGCGCCGCAGCCAGUGCCGACAGCAACGCUCACCCCUCCGCUCGGGCAGCCGUUGACAGCCGGCAGGGGAGCACCCGGCUUCAGAGCGACCGUACCUGGGCUCCGUGGCAGCGCCGCUGCUGUUCUCACCUCCGCUCUGCCCCACAGGACUCACCCCUCUCCUCCUCACUCCAGCUCUCACGACUUCAGCAUUUAACUCAAACUCGUCCUUGAUUUUCCAGCCGCCUGCACCCCACUCGAGCUCAAUCCAAAAUGUGUUCGAGGGAAUUUCAUGUUGGAAACAUCAGCACCAGCUCUACAAAUAAUAUUGAAUGAAGAUUUACAGUUGGAUUAAAAUCUCCAGUCUGCAGUAUAUUGAUUAAUUUAGUCUCAGAAUUUCACCCAAUUCUACAGCAAAACUUUGAAAAUUUACCUGGAAAAAAAAUAUAUACAAUAAUGUCUGCACUGGUAAAAGAUUAAAAGUAUUUUGCAUGGGAAA